rnacentral:rRNA from 1 species
GCGAAACUGGCGGCGUGCCUAAUAAUGCAAGUCGAGCGAACGGACGAGAAGCUUGCUUCUCUGAUGUUAGCGGCGGACGGGUGAGUAACACGUGGAUAACCUACCUAUAAGACUGGGAUAACUUCGGGAAACCGGAGCUAAUACCGGAUAAUAUUUUGAACCGCAUGGUUCAAAAGUGAAAGACGGUCUUGCUGUCACUUAUAGAUGGAUCCGCGCUGCAUUAGCUAGUUGGUAAGGUAACGGCUUACCAAGGCAACGAUGCAUAGCCGACCUGAGAGGGUGAUCGGCCACACUGGAACUGAGACACGGUCCAGACUCCUACGGGAGGCAGCAGUAGGGAAUCUUCCGCAAUGGGCGAAAGCCUGACGGAGCAACGCCACGUGAGUGAUGAAGGUCUUCGGAUCGUAAAACUCUGUUAUUAGGGAAGAACAUAUGUGUAAGUAACUGUGCACAUCUUGACGGUACCUAAUCAGAAAGCCACGGCUAACUACGUGCCAGCAGCCGCGGUAAU